GAUGAACGCUGGCGGCGUGCCUAAUACAUGCAAGUCGAGCGAACGGACGAGAAGCUUGCUUCUCUGAUGUUAGCGGCGGACGGGUGAGUAACACGUGGAUAACCUACCUAUAAGACUGGAUAACUUCGGGAAACCGUAGCUAAUACCGGAUAAUAUUUUGAACCGCAUGGUUCAAAAGUGAAAGACGGUCUUGCUGUCACUUAUAGAUGGAUCCGCGCUGCAUUAGCUAGUUGGUAAGGUAACGGCUUACCAAGGCAACGAUGCAUAGCCGACCUGAGAGGGUGAUCGGCCACACUGGAACUGAGACACGGUCCAGACUCCUACGGGAGGCAGCAGUAGGGAAUCUUCCGCAAUGGGCGAAAGCCUGACGGAGCAACGCCGCGUGAGUGAUGAAGGUCUUCGGAUCGUAAAACUCUGUUAUUAGGGAAGAACAUAUGUGUAAGUAACUGUGCACAUCUUGACGGUACCUAAUCAGAAAGCCACGGCUAACUACGUG
rnacentral:rRNA from 1 species